ensembl:lncRNA
UGCUUUGGAGGACGGGCCGGCGGCGUCAGAGGUUCCCUCGCUUGAAAGGACUCUUGAAAGGCUUCUCUCUCCUGAUCUUUCACUGUCCUUGUACACAGUCUUCUCCUGGCUGUUUUUUCAUUUGCUCUGUUCUGUGAAGAUGGUGCACUUUCGUCACAAAUUCCUUAACCCUGUUGGGAAAAUGCCCUUCCAAAUCCCCGCCUUACUGAAACUCUGCUCGGGAUCCCUGUAUGUUUCGCUUGGAAGUUCGUGGUCCAGGUGUCAUUGGAUGGUCUCUUGCUGGGAAUAUCGCUCCUGUUUACCUUGUUAUGAAGGAAGUUAAGAAGGACAUACGCUAUGAUAUUUCUUCAUCGCUUGCAGAAGUUCCUGGGCCAGGGAUUGAACCUGUGCCGUAGUGGUGACCACGCCGGAUACUUAAUUUGGUGAUUAGCUAUAGCCAUGCAGACAUUUCCAGAUUGAGUGGGCAUCAUCUUCUCUUGAAUAUGUUUCUUCAGUGAACGAUAAUGUGACAAAUAUUUUACUUUUGCUCAAAAUGUCAGCUUAAGGUUUAUAUCAUAUCAUGUCCAUCACUUUCCUAGAUCUUAGCCAGUUUUGGCCCGAGAAGUAAUUUCGGCCUUAAUUCUAUCCAUACCCUGUUCUGUGCUUUGCAUUAAAAGAUGUCUUUAGUUUGACGGAUUGACAGCCUAGGUCUGUAGAUGUCAAUUCGGUUACAGGUCGCGUGGGCCCCGCUGUUGAGGGAUAUUCACUGGGACCCAUUCCCGGAUGUGGGAGGGGCCGUGCUCUAGAAGCCUCAGGGCGAACAUCAGGUGCUCAGGACGAGCAUUCAGACUGGAUUUAGUCAUACUGGCUGAAAAAUGAGUGCAGGCAGUAGACUGGGGCGCAGAGGGUAGACAAGUAGGAGGUUUCGUCACCAGUCUCAGAAGCUCCGGCUGCCAGUCUGCAGCUCCAUUGCCAGAAGGGGUCGGCUGACGCUCGGCCCGACUGAAGAGUAAUUCUGUCUCGUUUGAGGAGGUGUGAAGGCUAGAAGUAUCCAUGCGACAUCACGAGAUUGCUUUUUAAGGACAAAAGAACCUUAGAAAGCAGGGCUCACCGGGAGUGGCCUCAACAUCUGGCUGAGCCCCCAGCCGCCCCACAGCACAGCCCCCGGCAGCCUCGUGGGCAGGUGCUCAGGUCGCCAGGGUGGAUGGCGGUUCUGCAGGCCGAGGGCCGGGAGACCCCGUUCCCCACGCACUGUCUCCUGUCGUCUCCCUUCUCCGGGGCCCCGUCUGUUACCACCAGCAGUGGUAACCACCACCAGCUCUACCCCUGGGUUCUAGAUCCACGGGUCCAGCUAACCUCAGACAGAAGGUAUUUGGAGAAAAAAAUUCCAAAAAGCAAAACUUGCAUUUGCCGUAUGUGGGACUCUUUACAUGGCACUAAUUACACAGCAUCUGCACUGUGAUGGGUGUUGUAAGUAAUCCAGAGGUGAUUUCAAGGAAGCAGGUGGUUUUACAUGAGGGACCCAAGCAUCUGCAGAUUUUGCAUUCCGUGGGGGUCCCAGUCCCUGGAUACCGCAGGACGACUGCCUGUUGAGGAUGCUGAGGUCUGGGCGUCUGAGGGCUUUGCGAGGUCUCAGGCCCCAGGCUUGGGCCCCAGCUCUUAUUUGGCUCCAGGCCGGAGGGUCUUCGUGCAACAGGGCAAAUUGCCUAGUAACUGCCUUUGGGGAUUAAUGGUUAAUUGGGGUGUGAUCAUUUUAUCUGGUAUUUUUAGAUAAAACUUUAGAAGGCUAAAUAUGUAAAAAUAAAACUGGAACCAGAAUUACAA